UACGUAGGUGGCAAGCGUUGUCCGGAUUUAUUGGGUUUAAAGGGUGCGUAGGCGGCCUUGUAAGUCAGUGCUGAAAUAUCCCGGCUUAACCGGGAGGGUGGCAUUGAUACUGCAGGGCUUGAGUAAAGUUGAGGUUGGCGGAAUUGACGGUGUAGCGGUGAAAUGCUUAGAUAUGACAUAGAACACCUAUUGCGAAGGCAGCUUACUACGCAUAUAUUGACGCUGAGGCACGAAAGCGUGGGGAUCAAACAGGA
rnacentral:rRNA from 1 species